UCAGAUAUAAACUUUAAACAACCU
rnacentral:piRNA from 1 species